rnacentral:rRNA from 1 species
GAAUUUUGGACAAUGGGGGCAACCCUGAUCCAGCCAUCCCGCGUGUGCGAUGAAGGCCUUCGGGUUGUAAAGCACUUUUGGCUGGGAAGAAAAGGCUCUUGCUAAUACCUGGAGCUGCUGACGGUACCUUCAGAAUAAGCCCCGGACCACUACGUGCCACCAGCCGCGGUAAUACGGAGGGUGCAACCGUUAAUCGGAAUUACUGGGCGUAAAGCGUGCGCAGGCGGUUCGGCAAGAAGGAUGUGAAAUCCCAGGGCUUAACCUUGGAACUGCAUUCUUAACUGCCGGGCUAGAGUAUGUCAGAGGGGGGUAGAAUUCCGCGUGUAGCAGUGAAAUGCGUAGAGAUGCGGAGGAAUACCGAUGGCGAAGGCAGCCCCCUGGGAUAAUACUGACGCUCAUGCACGAAAGCGUGGGGAGCAAAC